AGCCUCUUUAGAUGUGAAAGCUGAGCUGCUUGGGUAGUGUCCUCCAGCCUGAUCUUCAGCUUCCUUCAUCACCUGAUGUAAUGCUGUCUCUGCAAACUAGCAGCCUGCUCGCUCCUGCCCUGUGCCAGCAAGCAGCUGCUAUACGAGAGAGAGACCCAUGCAGAAAUGUGUGACUGCAUCUUCAUCUGGGAUCAACUGAUCACAGGGGAUCCUGGACUAUAUCUGCUCCUUUGCUGUGUUAUAGGUGAAUUACACAAUGCAAGAGAAAAUGAUCACUGCUAAGGACAGGAUCAGCCCCUGAUCUGCGGACCUGCGCUGAGAGGUACAGGGAUCCUGCGGAAUUCAUGCCACGGACAGUCCAUCAAUAAAAACCCGUGCAGAUGUGCCCAAACUGGGAGGAUCAGGUUUCCUUACUCUUUGGGGAACUGGAAGGCACACCUGAAUGGCAGUGAGAGCUCCUGGUUCCCUCUGCCACUGGAAGAUAGCCACGACCUCCAGAUCGCAGUGAAUUCACAUUUCUCCCAAAACAGGCACAAUUGCCCAGCGUGAAACAGCCAGGCUAGCACCAAGAGACCUUUGCUCCAAGGCACCUCACCCAUGCCACCAGCAGCAAUUCAGUCUCUACUGAACGCCUGCAGGACUCCUCUCUU